rnacentral:rRNA from 1 species
UAGGGAAUCUUCGGCAAUGGACGAAAGUCUGACCGAGCAACGCCGCGUGAGUGAAGAGGGUUUUCGGAUCGUAAAACUCUGUUGUUAGAGAAGAACAAGGACGUUAGUAACUGAACGUCCCCUGACGGUAUCUAACCAGAAAGCCACGGCUAACUACGUGCCAGCAGCCGCGGUAAUACGUAGGUGGCAAGCGUUGUCCGGAAUUAUUGGGCGUAAAGCGAGCGCAGGCGGUUUCUUAAGUCUGAUGUGAAAGCCCCCGGCUCAACCGGGGAGGGUCAUUGGAAACUGGGAGACGUGAGUGCAGAAGAGGAGAGUGGAAUUCCAUGUGUAGCGGUGAAAUGCGUAGAUAUAUGGGGGAACACCAGUGGCGAAGGCGGCUCUCUGGUCUGUAACUGACGCUGAGGCUCGAAAGCGUGGGGAGCAAACAGG